GAUGAAAACGCAGCGAAAUGCGAUACGUAAUGUGAAUUGCAGAAUUCAGUGAAUCAUCGAGUCUUUGAACGCACAUUGCGCCCCCUGGUAUUCCGGGGGGCAUGCCUGUCCGAGCGUCAUUGCUGCCCUCAAGCACGGCUUGUGUGUUGGGCCUCCGUCCUCCUCCCGGGGGACGGGCCCGAAAGGCAGCGGCGGCACCGCGUCCGGUCCUCGAGCGUAUGGGGCUUCGUCACCCGCUCUUGUAGGCCCGGCCGGCGCUUGCCGACACAUCAAUCUUUUUUCCAGGUUGACCUCGGAUCAGGUAGGGAUACCCGCUGAACUUAAGCAUAUCAAUAAGCGGAGGA
rnacentral:misc_RNA from 1 species